GACGAACGCUGGCGGCGUGCUUAACACAUGCAAGUCGAACGGAAAGGCCCUGCUUUUGUGGGGUGCUCGAGUGGCGAACGGGUGAGUAACACGUGAGUAACCUGCCCUUGACUUUGGGAUAACUUCAGGAAACUGGGGCUAAAACCGGAUAGGAGCUCCUGCUGCAGGGGGGGGGUUGGAAAGUUUCGGCGGUUGGGGAUGGACUCGCGGGUUAUCCGCUUGUUGGUGGGGUAGUGGCUUACAAAGGCUUUGACGGGUAGCCGGCCGGAGAGGGUGACCGGCCACAUUGGGACUGAGAUACGGCCCAGACUCCUACGGGAGGCAGCAGUGGGGAAUAUUGCACAAUGGGCGGAAGCCUGAUGCAGCAACGCCGCGUGCGGGAUGACGGCCUUCGGGUUGUAAACCGCUUUCGCCUGUGACGAAGCGUGAGUGACGGUAAUGGGUAAAGAAGCACCGGCUAACUACGUG
rnacentral:rRNA from 1 species